CUACGGGGUGCAGCAGUGGGGAAUAUUGCACAAUGGAGGAAACUCUGAUGCAGCAACGCCGCGUGGAGGAUGACACUUUUCGGAGCGUAAACUCCUUUUAUAUAGGAAGAAGAUGACGGUACUAUAUGAAUAAGCGCCGGCUAACUCCGUGCCAGCAGCCGCGGUAAUAAGGAGGGCGCAAGCGUUACUCGGAAUCACUGGGCGUAAAGAGCGUGUAGGCGGAUUAAAAAGUCAGAAGUGAAAUCCUAUAGCUUAACUAUAGAACUGCUUCUGAAACUCUUAAUCUAGAAUGUGGGAGAGGUAGAUGGAAUUUCUGGUGUAGGGGUAAAAUCCGUAGAGAUCAGAAGGAAUACCGAUUGCGAAGGCGAUCUACUAGAACAUUAUUGACGCUGAGACGCGAAAGCGUGGGGAGCAAACAGGAUUAGAUACCCGCGUAGUC
rnacentral:rRNA from 1 species